rnacentral:rRNA from 1 species
AGAGUUUGAUCCUGGCUCAGAUUGAACGCUGGCGGAAUGCUUUACACAUGCAAGUCGAACGGUAGAGGGGGCAACCCCUUGAGAGUGGCGAACGGGUGAGUAAUAUAUCGGAACGUGCCCAGUCGUGGGGGAUAACGUAGCGAAAGUUACGCUAAUACCGCAUACGAUCUACGGAUGAAAGCGGGGGACUCGCAAGAGCCUCGCGCGAUUGGAGCGGCCGAUAUCAGAUUAGGUAGUUGGUGGGGUAAAGGCUCACCAAGCCAACGAUCUGUAGCUGGUCUGAGAGGACGACCAGCCACACUGGAACUGAGACACGGUCCAGACUCCUACGGGAGGCAGCAGUGGGGAAUUUUGGACAAUGGACGCAAGUCUGAUCCAGCCAUUCCGCGUGCAGGAUGAAGGCCCUCGGGUUGUAAACUGCUUUUGUACGGAACGAAAAGGUUUCUAUUAAUACUAGGAGCUCAUGACGGUACCGUAAGAAUAAGCACCGGCUAACUACGUGCCAGCAGCCGCGGUAAUACGUAGGGUGCAAGCGUUAAUCGGAAUUACUGGGCGUAAAGCGUGCGCAGGCGGUUAUGUAAGACAGAGGUGAAAUCCCCGGGCUCAACCUGGGAACUGCCUUUGUGACUGCAUAGCUAGAGUACGGUAGAGGGGGAUGGAAUUCCGCGUGUAGCAGUGAAAUGCGUAGAUAUGCGGAGGAACACCGAUGGCGAAGGCAAUCCCCUGGACCUGUACUGACGCUCAUGCACGAAAGCGUGGGGAGCAAACAGGAUUAGAUACCCUGGUAGUCCACGCCCUAA